GGGGAAAAAAUUUUUUAAUUUUUUUUUUUUUUUUUAAAGGGAGGAUAGCUACCUAAUUUUUUUUUUUUUAAAUUAAAAAGGAGCUCGCACUCCCGGGGCGUCUGUUACUCAUUGCGAGUUAAGGCGCACCAAGAGCGUACACGUUGGAACCCGAAAGAUGGCGAACUAUGCAAGGCCAGGAUGAAGCCAGGGGAAACCCUGGUGGAGGUCCGUAGCGAUUCUGACGUGCAAAUCGAUCGUCAGAGUUUUGUAUAGGGGCGAAAGACUAAUCGAGCUAUCUAGUAGCUGGUUCCCUCCGAAGUUUCCCUCAGGAUAGCUGGUGCUAAUGAUGACAAGAGUCUCAUCUGGUAAAGCGAAUGAUUAGAGGGCUUGGGGCCGAAACGACCUCAACCUAUUCUCAAACUUUAAAUGGAUGAGAGCC
rnacentral:rRNA from 1 species